UACGUAGGGUGCAAGCGUUGUCCGGAAUUAUUGGGCGUAAAGGGCUCGUAGGCGGUCCAUCGCGUCGGGAGUGAAAAGCUGGGGCUUAACCCCAGUCCUGCUUCCGAUACGGGUGGACUAGAGGUAGGUAGGGGAGAACGGAAUCCUGGUGUAGCGGUGAAAUGCGCAGAUAUCAGGAGGAACACCGGUGGCGAAGGCGGUUCUCUGGGCCUUACCUGACGCUGAGGAGCGAAAGCAUGGGGAGCAAAGCAGG
rnacentral:rRNA from 1 species